ensembl:lncRNA
CCGUCCCCGUUCCCUCCGGGUCCUCCGCGCACCGCGGCUCCCGGCAGCGCGAGGGCGGCCGGCCAGAGCGGUUUCAAACUUCGAAAACUGCGCUCUGAUCGCGGGAACGUACAGACUCGUGCCGCCUCGAGUCCGAUUCUCGGAGCAGGUGUCAGGCGCCCGGCUACUGCUGUGCUGUGGGCACGGCCCGUGACGGUUCUGACGAGCAGCUGGGUAGAGCUCCGGGGGCUGCAGCCACCGAGCUCAGUAAUUUCCUUUAAAAGCAACAUAAUCAGCACAAAAUUAGACUGUUUUGUGGAAGCAGAAAUGCUUGGUAGUGGUAGGACUCUGUGCGCUUGCCUAGCAUGCCAUUGCAAGGACAAUCAGCAUGGAAAACCAGGACUUUGAGCUCUGCAUCUCUGCUUGAUCUUGACUUGCUGGUUGAUACCAGGAGCUGCUUCCCAGAUCCUCUUGAUUUGGUUCGAGAAGUUAGAAUUACCUGUAAUCAUUGGUAAACCAAAAGUCCCGAAUGGAGAACAAUGACAGGCGCCCACCGAGAAGUCAUCAUUUCAAAAACAUCCAGCUCCCCCCUGUGCUUUGGGAUGUGAAAGAAUGACGUUGGCAGAUAGAGGCCUCAAGUUCCUCUCGGAUGCAUCUGGACCAUUUUAUUAGGGAGUCCACUGAGCCUGUGAUCAGCCUGAGUGCAGCUGAUGGUGAGCAGCGCCAAGGUGUGGUACUGAGCUGCUGAUCAAAUUGGUGUAUUUCAGAAGACCUGAAAAAAUUAGAUGAUUGAAACAUCACUCGUAAGCCACAGCUUCGCCAUGAGGACUUUAGGAAAAGCAUGGCUGCACAGAGUACCUUCACCAGCAAUCUUCCAGCCUCCGACAAAACUAUUGUUCUUGAAGACCAGAAAGAUUGUUAUUGAGCUUUCCACAAAGCUGAAAUAAUGCUGUGUGUUAAAAAAAUGUUAACAAUUUGAAGAAGUUAUAAAAAUUUAUAAGUUGACUGAAUACUUUGGAAAUUUCUGCAUAUUUUAAUAUAAAUAGCCUCUGGACUGGUUCUCCUGCUCUGCAGCACAGUUACUUGCCUUUCUCGUUGAGGCUCUUGGUCAUCCCAUCUACCACGGUCAAGAAGACUGCCACAUACAGAUACGGUGAUCAGUAUGUCUGGUCCAGUUUGAAUGCCCUGUCCUGGAGUGGGAAGCAAGUUCUGCACUGUAUGUGGAUGAAGUUAAUCAGUUUGCAGUAACAAAGUGUUGGAAGGGACUUCAAGAGCUUAUCUAUACAGAGCUGGCCAGCCUGUGCCUUGGAGGCCUGCUGGGGAGAGGUGACAUUCAAGUGAUGAAGAAAUAGGAGUCUGCACCAUUCGUCAGCCUAGCGAGAAGGCGGCUCUAUGCUCACUUUGAAAGAGGGCAGUGCAAAAGUUACCUAGGGAAGGCACACACACCACUCUGUAACCUUUCCAUGGGUCUGUGUGCAGAAAUGAGGCUGUGAUGUGUGAAGUUUCCAUUGACUUCAGAUUUGGCAGUGCUAAAUGGAAUGGAUAAUGCGUUGUGAUACAACAGGAGGAAAACCUGCCCCAGCAACGACAGUGGAUUUUGGUACUGAUUUUGAAGCGAUGUGAGUACUCUGGGCACGGCGGAGGAGCUUCCCACUGAAUGCGGCACAGCGGCACAGCUGCUGAGGAGAGCAUGGCAACAGCAAGAAAUGGAAUUCACUGAAGAAAGCGCUUGACAAGCCAUGACAAGGGAAGUUACGGGAUUAAAUGAUCCUUGAUCACGAAAGCAGGUGCACCGGAGGCAAUCAGAAUGCACGUCUGCUGAAGCCCCG